rnacentral:rRNA from 1 species
UACGAAGGGUGCAAGCGUUACUCGGAAUUACUGGGCGUAAAGCGUGCGUAGGUGGUUUGUUAAGUCUGUUGUGAAAGCCCCGGGCUCAACCUGGGAAUGGCAAUGGAUACUGGCAAGCUAGAGUGCGGUAGAGGGUAGUGGAAUUCCCGGUGUAGCGGUGAAAUGCGUAGAGAUCGGGAGGAACACCAAUGGCGAAGGCGGCUACCUGGACCAGCACUGACACUGAGGCACGAAAGCGUGGGGAGCAAACAGG